rnacentral:rRNA from 1 species
GGACGGGUGAGUAAUGUCUGGGAAACUGCCUGAUGGAGGGGGAUAACUACUGGAAACGGUAGCUAAUACCGCAUAACGUCGCAAGACCAAAGAGGGGGACCUUCGGGCCUCUUGCCAUCAGAUGUGCCCAGAUGGGAUUAGCUAGUAGGUGGGGUAACGGCUCACCUAGGCGACGAUCCCUAGCUGGUCUGAGAGGAUGACCAGCCACAUUGGGACUGAGACACGGCCCAGACUCCUACGGGAGGCAGCAUG